UUUGAUACCUUGUGGCUCCAACCAAAGGUGUUGCACUCGAUAUGGUGCUUACUUUCCGGUAUAUAUGUAUCUCGGGUCUAUUCAAAAACUUGUCAUUGAUUGUGAUAUUUGAUGUGAUAUGAAAUGCUCUAGUUUCAUUUCCAGCCAGCUUCUCAACCUCCUUAAAGUGCAAGUAGUAGUAGUAUUGCUCAUUUACAUUAUCUGCAUUCCAUUGAAUUUGUAAAGGGGCACUGGCAUUUACUGUUGCAACAGCAGUGCUCAUAACAAUUUCAGGUGGACUAUAUUCAUUCUGAAAUAGAUCAUUGAUGUUAAAUGAGGUGGUUAAUUGUCUCCAAUCACUGGAUAAUUCACAAGGCGACCAGAUGCGGUCAUAAACAUCAUCUUUGUACCUGUUGUUUGUACAUGGCCAAAAAAAUUAGCCAUCAGCCAUGCUUAUUUCUUUUAUUUCUAUUAAGCAAAACCAAAGACACACUAAGUGUUGAAAAGAUGUAGAAAGGAAGCUCAGUCUUUUUUAGGUUUGGAGAUACUAAACUAAAAGAUGCAUAAAGGAAGCUUGGUCUUUUUUAAGGCAUUCUUUAUCAGACUUGCCGAUGACAUGACUUCUAAGACGUUCUUUUUUCGAACCUGCCAUCUCUGAACUUCCUUUUUAUUAUAAUUGGUUUACUUUCAAAAGAAAGUCGAGUGAGUUCAGAACAUAUCUUGUGAUUAUUUGGAUUGGAUUUAUGGGGUUGAAGUUUCUAAAGAUUAUGUUUGGAGGAGAUGGUGUAUCUAGGAGAUGAUCAUGCUAUCACGUGAAGUUCAGCAGAGCAUGGCAUCCUCUCCUAACAUCGUAUCAGAGACAGAGCGAAGAGGACGACCGUCUUAGACCCAAAAAAAUAAGUCUAAAAUUUGGGUCCCAAAAUUAAAAAUAAAAAACAAAAAUUAA